GAAAGAAAAAGAAAAGAAAGGAAAGGCAAAGAAAAGAAGAGAAAAAGCAUUUACUUAUCUUUUUCAUAACGUUUAAUAACAAAAAUCAGAUGCAACUGCAAGGUAACAUUUUGUCUUCAUCGAUCAGACAUCGUCGAUCGACUCUCACCGGCCAACCACCAAGGUCUAACGAGAAACAGACAGAAACAACAAAAAGAAACCCUAAAAGGACUCCAAAUUUACACACUAAAAAAAAAAAAGGAUUUGAACCAUCAAAAACCUGCUCCUUUCGGGGUUAGGCCUGUUCGGCACCACAACCCGCAUAAUCUUUCAUGAUAUGAAAUCAAAUUCAAACCCUAAAACACCCAACAUGAUUGUGAUGAUGAAGGGACUUUUCCUUAUCAAUCAUGCCCUGAACGUACCUAAACUCCUCCACAUGGCAAGGGAUGGUUAUCGUACCCUUCUGAUCAAAUCCAUAUUCUUCUUCGGCUUCCUUAAGUAAUUGCAUGAACAGUGGGUGAUUGAAGUAUAUUACAGGCACCACAAUUCUCUGCUGCUCCUCUCCCUGGCCCACCUUGAUUGCCAAACAGCCUUUCGGUACAUCCCUCGCAUGCUUCUUGUUAUUCCCAUGAUGGUGGUGGUGAUGAUGAAGAUGAGGCAGGUGUAAGUGAAAGUUCCUUAGACUCUUCUCUCCACUA
rnacentral:misc_RNA from 1 species